rnacentral:lncRNA from 1 species
GAAAACUUGUCCAUAAAACCCUCAAACCUCAGUCUUUAUUACCAUCACCUAUCACUACACCUUUAUCCAUCUCUUCCUCUCUUUUCUCCUUCUUCUUCCUAGUUCCUACUACCAUGCCACCAUAUUCUUUGCCGGAGAUCUUGUUAAUGGAGUUCAAGCUACUGCUUUAUAGAACCAUGAUUUAUUUUUAUGUUCGACAUCGGCUGUAAUUUCUUUGAUUAAUUUUAGGUAACAAAUUUCUAUCUUAAACUUUCAUUAUUAUUUUUAAUUUAAUAUAUAUGUCAGUUAUCAAGUACUAAUUGUUUUCAAAUACUCUUUUUGUUCCCAAAAUAAUUGUUACAAUUUAAUGAUGUGCAUUAUUUUUACAAGUUAUUUUGAUCAUAUUUUUUUAUUAAUGUAUAAAGGUGCAAAGUUUAUCAAUCAAAAUCAAGAUUUUGGAAGCCAAGUUGGAGGUUGCUCGAUCUCCGAAGAAGCAUGCUAACACAUCAUCUGUCAUUUUAUUCGAUGUUUUGGAAGAGGUGUCUGACGCGGUGGAGGGACUAUCGCUGGACCGUUAACCAAGGCUGCUGGUUGCAUUUGUGUGAUGUUUAGUAUGUGUUUCGGAUGCUGCAUUGGAGGGUGACUAACAAGUUGAUGCUGUUUCUAGUUUUUCAGCUGUUAUGUGAACUGUGUAUUAGCUGCUAGUGUUUUUAUCUGUUAAAUUGAUUGAUUCUACAAUGGUGUGUUUUGAUGCUCAUGUUGGAUACUUGCUGCACUGGAUUUGUUUUUUGUUGAUCUCAUUCAUGUGUUCCAUGCAGUAACUUGUUUUUAC